rnacentral:rRNA from 1 species
ACGAACGCUGGCGGCACGCUUAACACAUGCAAGUCGAACGAGAGAAGAGAAGCUUGCUUUUCUGAUCUAGUGGCGGACGGGUGAGUAACACGUGAGCAAUCUGCCUUUCAGAGGGGGAUACCGAUUGGAAACGAUCGUUAAUACCGCAUAACAUAAUUGAACCGCAUGAUUUGAUUAUCAAAGAUUUAUCGCUGAAAGAUGAGCUCGCGUCUGAUUAGCUAGUUGGUAAGGUAACGGCUUACCAAGGCGACGAUCAGUAGCCGGACUGAGAGGUUGAUCGGCCACAUUGGGACUGAGACACGGCCCAGACUCCUACGGGAGGCAGCAGUGGGGAAUAUUGCACAAUGGAGGAAACUCUGAUGCAGCGAUGCCGCGUGAGGGAAGAAGGUUUUAGGAUUGUAAACCUCUGUCUUCAGGGACGAAAAAAGACGGUACCUGAGGAGGAAGCUCCGGCUAACUACGUGCCAGCAGCCGCGGUAAUACGUAGGGAGCGAGCGUUGUCCGGAAUUACUGGGUGUAAAGGGAGCGUAGGCGGGAUCGCAAGUCAGAUGUGAAAACUAUGGGCUUAACCCAUAAACAGCAUUUGAAACUGUGGUUCUUGAGUGAAGUAGAGGUAAGCGGAAUUCCUAGUGUAGCGGUGAAAUGCGUAGAUAUUAGGAGGAACAUCAGUGGCGAAGGCGGCUUACUGGGCUUUAACUGACGCUGAGGCUCGAAAGCGUGGGGAGCAAACAGGAUUAGAUACCCUGGUAGUCCACGCCGUAAACGAUGAUUACUAGGUGUGGGGGGACUGACCCCUUCCGUGCCGCAGCAAACGCAAUAAGUAAUCCACCUGGGGAGUACGACCGCAAGGUUGAAACUCAAAGGAAUUGACGGGGGCCCGCACAAGCAGUGGAGUAUGUGGAUUAAUUCGAAGCAACGCGAAGAACCUUACCAGGUCUUGACAUCGUAUGCAUAGCUCAGAGAUGAGUGAAAUCUCUUCGGAGACAUAUAGACAGGUGGUGCAUGGUUGUCGUCAGCUCGUGUCGUGAGAUGUUGGGUUAAGUCCCGCAACGAGCGCAACCCUUACUGUUAGUUGCUACGCAAGAGCACUCUAGCAGGACUGCCGUUGACAAAACGGAGGAAGGUGGGGAUGACGUCAAAUCAUCAUGCCCCUUAUGACCUGGGCCUCACACGUACUACAAUGGCUGUCAACAGAGGGAAGCAAAGCCGCGAGGUGGAGCAAACCCCUAAAAGCAGUCUUAGUUCGGAUUGUAGGCUGCAACCCGCCUACAUGAAGUCGGAAUUGCUAGUAAUCGCGGAUCAGCAUGCCGCGGUGAAUACGUUCCCGGGCCUUGUACACACCGCCCGUCACACCACGAGAGUUUGUAACACCCGAAGUCGGUGAGGUAACCUUUUGGAGCCAGCCGCCUAAGGUGGGAUAGAUGAUUGGGGUG